UAUCGGAACGUGCCCAGUCGUGGGGGGUAACUGCUCGAAAGAGCAGCUAAUACCGCAUACGACCUGAGGGUGAAAGCGGGGGAUCGCAAGACCUCGCGCGAUUGGAGCGGCCGAUAUCAGAUUAGGUAGUUGGUGAGGUAAAGGCUCACCAAGCCGACGAUCUGUAGCUGGUCUGAGAGGACGACCAGCCACACUGGGACUGAGACACGGCCCAG
rnacentral:rRNA from 1 species